rnacentral:rRNA from 1 species
UACGGAGGGAGCUAGCGUUGUUCGGAAUUACUGGGCGUAAAGCGCGCGUAGGCGGCUUUGUAAGUUAGAGGUGAAAGCCCGGGGCUCAACUCCGGAAUUGCCUUUAAGACUGCAUCGCUAGAAUCCGGGAGAGGUGAGUGGAAUUCCGAGUGUAGAGGUGAAAUUCGUAGAUAUUCGGAAGAACACCAGUUGCGAAGGCGGCUCUCUGGACCAGCACUGACACUGAGGCACGAAAGCGUGGGGAGCAAACAGG